rnacentral:tRNA from 1 species
GGAUUGUAGCUCAGUGGUAGAGCGCUUGCCUAGCAUGUGUGAGGCCCUGGGUUCAAUCCACAGCACCA